UACGUAGGGGCCGAGCGUUGUCCGGAGUUAUUGGGCGUAAAGCGCGCGCAGGCGGCCUCGCGCGCCCGACGUGAAAGCCCCCGGCUUAACCGGGGAGGGUCGUUGGGGACGGCGGGGCUUGAGGGCGGGAGAGGUCGGUGGAAUUCCCGGUGUAGUGGUGAAAUGCGUAGAGAUCGGGAGGAAGGCCGGUGGCGAAGGCGGCGCUCUGGAACGUUACUGACGCUGAGGUGCGAAAGCGUGGGGAGCAAACAGG
rnacentral:rRNA from 1 species